rfam:Psychrobacter arcticus 273-4, complete genome.
UAUAUUCUGAAGUGUUGGCUAGCAGAUGUUUAUUCCCUGAGCCGAUAAUGCUUUACCAGGAUGUGGUACCUAUUGCUUCAUUGUGUAUGCCUGCACCGCUUGCGGUGUAUCAGGAAACCUGCCGAGGCAGUGACGCAUCCGCCCUGAACUUCACGGUUCAUGGGUCACCAUCUUGCGGCGGCACUUCGGUUGUUAU